rnacentral:rRNA from 1 species
UUUAAAUUGAGAGUUUGAUCCUGGCUCAGGAUGAACGCUGGCGGCGUGCUUAACACAUGCAAGUCGAGCGAUGAAGUUUCCUUCGGGAAACGGAGUAGCGGCGGACGGGUGAGUAACACGUGGGUAACCUGCCUCAUAGAGUGGAAUAGCCUUCCGAAAGGAAGAUUAAUACCGCAUAAUGUUGAAAGAUGGCAUCAUCAUUCAAUCAAAGGAGCAAUCCGCUAUGAGAUGGACCCGCGGCGCAUUAGCUAGUUGGUGGGGUAACGGCCUACCAAGGCGACGAUGCGUAGCCGACCUGAGAGGGUGAUCGGCCACAUUGGGACUGAGACACGGCCCAGACUCCUACGGGAGGCAGCAGUGGGGAAUAUUGCACAAUGGGGGAAACCCUGAUGCAGCAACGCCGCGUGAGUGAUGAAGGUUUUCGGAUCGUAA